GAUGAACGCUGGCGGCGUGCCUAAUACAUGCAAGUCGAGCGAACGGACGAGAAGCUUGUUUCUUGGUUGUUAGCGGCAGGGGGGGGUGUAACACGUGGAUACCCUCCUUAUCAGACUGGGAUAACUUCGGGAAACGGUAGAUAAUCCCGGAUAAUAUUUUGAACCGCAUGGUUCAAAGGUGAAAGACGGCCUUGCGGUAACUUAUCGAUGCUUCCGCGCUGCUUUAGCUAGUUGGUAAGGUACUGGCUUACCAAGGCAACGAUGCAUAACCGACCUGAGAGGGGGAUCGGCCACACGGGAACUUAGACACGGUCCAGAGUCCUACGGGAGGCAGCAGUAGGGAAUCGUCCGCAAUGGGCGAGAGCCUGACGGAGCAACGGCGCGUGAGUUAUGGAGGUCUUCGGAUCGUAAAACUCUGUUACUAGGUAAGAACAUAUGUGUAAGUAACUGUGCACAUCUUGACGGUAACUAAUCAGAAAGCCACGGCUAACUACGUG
rnacentral:rRNA from 1 species